rnacentral:rRNA from 1 species
AUUGAACGCUGGCGGCAGGCUUAACACAUGCAAGUCGAACGAGUGGCGGACGGGUGAGUAAUGGUUGGGAACCUAGCUUAUGGAGGGGGAUAACUACGGGAAACUGUAGCUAAUACCGCGUACCAUAGGAUGAGCCCAAGGGGGAUUAGGUAGGUGGUGAGGUAAAGGCUCACCAAGACGACGAUCAAUAGCUGGUCUGAGAGGUUGACCGGCCACACGGGGACUGAGACACGGCCCAGACUCCUACGGGAGGCAGCAGUGGGGAAUAUUGGGCAAUGGGGGCAACCUGACGCAGCCAUGCCGCGUGAAUGAAGAAGGCCUUCGGAUUGUAAAAUUCUGUCGGUAGCGAUGCGUUAACUACAGAGAAAGCAACGGCUAACUACGUGCCAGCAGCCGCGGUAAUUC